CGGACGGGUGAGUAAUGUCUGGGAAACUGCCUGAUGGAGGGGGAUAACUACUGGAAACGGUAGCUAAUACCGCAUAACGUCGCAAGACCAAAGAGGGGGACCUUAGGGCCUCUUGCCAUCGGAUGUGCCCAGAUGGGAUUAGCUAGUAGGUAAGGUAACGGCUUACCUAGGCGACGAUCCCUAGCUGGUCUGAGAGGAUGAUCAGCCACACUGGGACUGAGACACGGCCCAG
rnacentral:rRNA from 1 species